AUCCGUGUUUGCACUAAACGAGUUUUACUGUAGUAGGAUACUUUAGCAAUCAACAAAGCCAGCAAUUAAAUACUUAAUGUUGUAAGAAAGACCGAUUUUGUUUUUCAAUUUUGGAGGAAUAACUACUUUUCUGACAGUUAUUAGCCAUAUACAAUUUUAGCAAUAGCAUGACCAUUGCUUAUAAAACCAAAAAUGGCAUAGUAGCAGGAAGUUCCCAUUAUACAGUAGUUAAAAGACUGAGGAUUUCUAUGUGAAUUUUCAUUCUGCAAUUGCAUUCUGCUUACAAAUGAUGCAGAAUUCUUUUUUUCUUUGAAUGUUUAUAUAUUUCCUGUAUAUAGGAAAAUGAAAAUUGUGUUCAAUACAACAUUAGUUUAAUACAGUGUAUGAAUGAAUGCAUUGGUACCUAACAUAGUAUAGGAAGUUGGAUUUUAUCUCCAUAUAUCCUUAAUCAGAUAACAGCAUUCAUUUUUUCAUUCUUCAUUUUGACAGUAUUUCUUUUGGUAAAAUUUUCUUUUUGUGUUCCAGACUAAACUUGAACAUAAAUAAAAAUAAUCACUGAAAGAACACAAUUCUAUUUUUAAACCUAAAAAUUCAUUUUUACGGAAAAACCAGUUUAAAAACUAAAUUAAAAAAUCGACAUAAAAUCUUAUAUGAGUGAACACAUUCUCAUACGAAUUUAUUUUUAUUUUACAUUGUAAAUUUGUUUAUUUUCUUUAUGGAAAAUACAAUAAGGAUAGAAAUACAAGUAUUUCAGAAAUUUUUAUUUCACAAUUGAAUUUUUUAAAACAAAGAUAUUGAUUUCAACAUACCUCUAAGAUGUUGGAAUUAAACUUGUUUUUAAGGAUGAGAAUAAAUCCAUUUUGUGUGAAGACAGGAGAUUUAAAAAGAUUCACAGUGUUGUGGAUGUUUUUAUAUUUUUGCAAGUAACUCAUUAUUCCAGGUCACAAUUAUCUUAGAGUUUCAGGUAAAAUGUUACGUAUAUGGAUUUCUUUAAUUUAGUUGAAUACUGUAUUCCUGAUCAAUUUGUAUGAUUCUUGUUUACAAGACAGAUGUCAUAUUUGUUUUCUUCAUAUAAGUUUUUAUUUUUGUAUUUUGUAACAAAAAAUAUAUUUCAGUUUUAUGUAUAUAUUUUUUUCAUUUACAACUCUACUGAUCAGAUACACAGAAGAGUUUAUGCAUAGUAAGGUGUCCUUUGAACGUUUAUUUAGUUUUCGUAUGUUUAAUCUUUAAGUACUACGGGUACUAUUGCAGAUUAUCUUUGAAAUUCUUUUUACUCCUUCAGUUCUGGUUCGAUUUAUAAACAGCUUUACUAAAAUACUACAUACGUUUAUCUUUCCGUCUGUUUUUCAACUCCAAAUGUUACUUUACUCUCCUUUAUUAUAAGUACAUACAUGUAGAACUAAAGUUUUGUCAGAGACUUCUGGUUUGAAAUUCAAUUAAUAUAUCAAGAGAUGUGCAAUAAUUUAAACAUGUUUUAUUAUUUAAAAAAAUGUCCAUGAACAACUCUAAAUAACUCGUAUCACUUACAUAUACAAAUAUUUGAUUGGCAUCUGAUCCAAUGCAUGCACCUCAGAUGUUUUAGAGGUCCGUGUUUGCUCUGCUACUGAUUUGUAUCUUUUAAUGGACAUUUGAGCUUGAAUGCUGUUCGUUAUCUCAAUUUUUCCAUUCUUAUUUAUUCUUAUAAAGUUUCGAUUUAUUGCUAUAAGUAACGACUGAAAAAGCCUCAUAUUUUUAAUCAUUAUUACAGUUUAAAUGUACAGCAUUUACAUUUUAUUUAUUGACAUAUAAUUAUCAAUGCGGUAUUUAAAUCGUUGUCGUUUUAAUUUUUUUCUGGUAAAGCCCUUAUUUGAUUAACGUACGAAACUGACAAGAGCUGGUGCUUUAGUGAGAUUUUUGAAGAGAAAUUUAUUUUUGAAGAAACCAUGUAAAUUAUUUUCCUUUUUCAUAUAAGAGGUAGUAUUGUAGAUUUGUCAGAUCUUAUUUUCGCUAUAUACUGUGUCUUAACAGUACUUUGCAUUUAUACUUUCAGGUGUUAAUAUAGUUUUUAGUAUAAACUAGAAAAACUUAUUUUGGUGUACUAUAUGUACUACAUAUAUUUGCAAAUGUUGUAAAGAAUAUUAAUCUUGUUUGAGUUUUCUAUUUAGCAAAUCUUUUAUGUCAUGUUUGUGAAUUGCGUAAGUCAAUGUUUUACACACAGAAACUUUAGGAAAUUAUUUUCCAGUAAACCGUUUCUUAUUUUUUGAAAGAACCGUUGUCAAUUUGAAGAUCAGGUAUCAGAUACAUUCCAAAAAAAAAACUUUUCAGAUUUUUAUGUUUUCAACAUGCGGCUAUAAAUUUCUGCUCAAUGUUCAUUUUAUCAUUCUGUAGUAAAUAUAAACCAUGUAUUAUUGUUGAAGCUGUGUAUUCCAUAUAAAUUUCCAAGGGUAUGAAUCUCUAUAGAAGGUUUCAGAGACACAGAAUGUUAUUUGUUCAUAGAAUUAAAUUCUAUAUAAUGAUAUCUAAUUUUAUAUUUUACAUAUAUUUACACAAUAAAUGGAUGUAAGAAUUUAUUAAUGUGUAGUAUUUUUACAAAAAAUAAUAGAGAAGAUAAUGCAAACUAGAAAAAUGACGGUAACUCAAUGAUAUCAUUCCAUUAGAAUAUAUACAUAUUUUAGUGUUAAGCAGAAAGCGUUUUAAAAUAUUUCGUACUUUGAACAACAGUUGUGACUUUUUUUUAGUAUGAAACCAGUAUCUGAAAAGUUUUCUUUGUUUAUGCUUUCGAUGUAAAUAAUGUGUAAGUACACUGUAAGGUUGUACAUGUUGUAUUUUAUUAAUAUGCCAUAUGUAGUAUUUUCUGUCAUAAAACCUUUCGCUUACUGCUUGAAUAAAAUAAAUCUAAAAGGUU